CCCCCCCCCCCUGGCGCCGCUACUGUUCUUUUGUAUUUUAAACUUAAUCCUAACCCUUUCCCAAACCCUAAUCCUAAAAGUCCAAAAAUAGUAAUUGUUCCUAAAUCAUGAAUCAUAUGUAAAUAGGUAAUAUUUCAUGUACUAUUUAAAACACGAGUAGACCAUUAAUCAUUAUAUAAUCAUGCUAAUUAGGAUGAGUUUUAUCAGAUAUAAAGUCACUCCACGUGACAUAUUAUGGCUGACAUGAUUUGCCACAAGGUUUAUGAAUUAUUAAUGAGUAUUUUAAGUACUAUUUAAAACACGACAACGAGUGUUUUGAAUAGCUUAAAAUACGACUACAAAAGAAUACUAAUUAGGAUGAUCAUAGUAUAAUCAUGCUAAUUAAGAUGAACAAUUAUAUAAUGCCACAUGUGUUUUAUCAGAUAUAAAGUCACUCCACGUGACAUAUUAUGGCUGAC